UCAUCUCAGGGAGCCCCGCGAGGUCUGUCAGAGCUCCACUUUGAAAACCACUGGGCCGGUCCCUCAGGUCCCUUCCUGCUGCCAGAGUCUGCGAUUUCAGAGCCAGCAACGGCUGCCCUUGCUGCAACCACCUCAGCUGUGAGUCAUCUCUGAAUCAUCGGCCUUACCUCCCCCGGAAACUUCAGGGGCUUCUUCUCUUCAGGAUGCCCUGCCAUCUUCUCAGAGGACUCAUGAGAUGGCGCUCGUGGUGGAGCUGCCAGCUGUGCCCACGAAAGCUACCAUGACCGUGUCUUCACUGGAGCUUGUGUGUGAUGGGGUCAGAAUUCCAUCCGCAAGAGCAACUGGGACCUGGAAGACUCCUCGCCUCUGGAGUCCCCUUGCAACCUGGAAGCUCCAGCACUUCCCUGGAGCCUAGCACACAUGCACAGACAAAAAGAUUCACUACAUAGAUCGUCAACACUGCUAACCAACCACAGAACAAGAUACAACCACAGCAAGUAAGGGACAUGGCCUGUGACUCAGUCUUUGUGGAGGUUCAAGGGCUCCAUGGAGGGGCUGGGAUGUCCAGGGGUCCCCAAGAGAAAGGCUGCUCAAUGCCCACUUCCCAUUGGCUACGGGACUUGACCUCUCCUUGGCGCCUCUCCCAGAAGCCAGGUCAGGAGAGGAGGAAGGCAAGGGGAGAGGGCAGCAUCCUGGCUCACAGGCAGCCCUCCCAAUGGCCCUCUUCUGAAGGAAGCAGUGGACCCGGCUUCUGGACAAGUCCUUGCCAGUGGAUCCAAUUCCAAGUGUGGGGUGCUUCCCACCUGGAGAUCCUCCUGGACGCUCACAGUACACCCACUCUCUGGGAAGUCACAGAACCGCGUGUCCUCUUAGGACGC
ensembl:lncRNA